rnacentral:rRNA from 1 species
UACGUAGGGGGCAAGCGUUGUCCGGAAUCAUUGGGCGUAAAGCGCGUGUAGGCGGCCCGAUAAGUCCGCUGUGAAAGUCCAGGGCUCAACCCUGGGAUGCCGGUGGAUACUGUCGGGCUCGAGUCCGGAAGAGGCGAGUGGAAUUCCUGGUGUAGCGGUGAAAUGCGUAGAUAUCGCUUGGAACGCCAACGGUGAAAACAGGUUGCUGGGGGUGUGCUGACGCUGAGACACGAAAGCCAGGGGAGCGAACGGG